UGGCUCCCGGUGAACUACUGCUCUGGCCUGCUGGGAACAGGACUUCUAAGAGGCAAAUAUGUCUGGAAGGCUGUGGUCCAAAGCCAUUUUUGCUGGCUAUAAGAGAGGUCUCCGGAACCAAAGGGAGCACACAGCUCUUCUCAAAAUUGAAGGUGUUUAUGCCCGAGAUGAAACUGAAUUCUAUUUGGGCAAGAGAUGUGCUUAUGUAUAUAAAGCAAAGAAUAACACAGUGACUCCUGGCGGCAAACCAAACAAAACCAGAGUAAUCUGGGGAAAGGUAACUCGGGCCCAUGGAAACAGUGGCAUGGCUCGUGCCAAAUUCCGAAGCAACCUUCCUGCUAAGGCCAUUGGACACAGAAUCCGUGUAAUGCUGUACCCCUCAAGAAUUUAAACUAAUGGAAAGUAAGUAAAUAAAAGUGGAUGUGUGUUCUUGUAUUUUUGUUAAGUGGCUUUAAAAACCUUAUUGCCCUUGAGUUGCUAUUAAAGUGGUGGAGGUUAUCCAUCAUUUUCAAAAUA